CCUUGUGGACCACAUUCUUGUGGAGCACAUCCUUUUGGACUUCCGCCUUGUGGACCACAUUCUUGUGGAGCACAUCUUUUUGGACUUCCGCCUUGUGGACCACAUUCUUGUGGAGCACGUCCCUUUGGACCACAUCCUUGUGGAGCACAUCCUUUUGGACCACAUCCUUGUGGAGCACAUCCUCGUGGACCACAUCUUUGUGGACCACAUCUUUGUCGACCAUAUCCUUUUAGAACACAUCCUUAUGGACCCCAUCCUUGUGGACCAAAUCCUUGUGGACCACAUCCUUGUGGAGAACAUCUUUUUGAAGCACAUCCUUGUGGACCAUACCCUUGUGGACUACAUCCUUUUGGACCACAUCUUUGUGGACCACAUCCUUUUGGACCACAUCCUUGUGGUACCACAUCCUUGUGGACCACCUCCUCGUGUUACCACAUCCUCGUGGUCCGCAUCCUUUUGGACCGCAUCCUGUUGGACCACAUCCUUGUGGACCGCAUCCUUGUAGAGCACAUCCUUGUGGACCACAUCCUCGUGUUACCACGUCCUCGUGGUCCGCCUCCUUUUGGACCGCAUCCUUGUGGACCACAUCCUUGUCUUCUUGGCACUUUCUUGUCACCACAUCACAACACUUGGGCAAUAUUUCAACACAGAAAGUGUUUCAGGAAAUAAAGACCCAAGUCCAUCUUGUGCAAAUGUUCUUUAAUAGAAAACAUUCAGGAUCUACUGUCAGGAGUUGCUACCUGAUAUUACUGCGUGACAUCCAAGUAGCGAGGGUUGACCGCAACACUUCAUGCAAAGAGCAAAAGAAGACACUAUAUUUUAAAAGAUAUGUACAGUAUUUACAUUUUGUACACAAGCCAUGACAUGUGUGUGAGCAGCAGGAUCAGCAGGUGAACUAAGGCAACAGCACACACACAGAGCGGCCACCGGAACGCAGCUCACCGCCGACACCAGCAGGAGGCCGAUGAAGACCUGACCAAAGACCGGAUAUUCCAUCACCACGGACUUUCCCUGAAGGAGCACACGUCCAAAUGUCAGUCUGAGGUCUGGGUCUUUGGACUUUCUGUCAUGUACUGUGCCUGUGAACUUGUAGAUACUGACCACUUACUACAUAAUACUACUGUAUGUACUGAGCCUGUGUACUUGUAGAUACUGACCACUUACUACAUAAUACUACUGUGAUUAAAAGGUGUUGUGUGAUGAAGUGAUGGGCAGGUUUACCAGCUCUUUGUCCCAGGCCUGGUAGGUGAGAGCCCCGCCUCGGAUGUAGUUGACAACGUAGAAGAGGAAGAGGAUAAGGAGGAUGGCGGGGCUUACCACCAACCACAUGAACUUCAGGAAGCAGUUGGAUGUAGCUGACCGUCACAAUCUCGAUGAGGACCACAAAGAGCAGGGAGAAGGAGGCUCCGUAGUCGUUGAACAUGGUGAACCAGUAGUUCCCUGAAGGUGUGGUGAAGCCCAGACCCAGCAGCAGCAAGACGGCACACAAAGUCCCUGAAAGCAAAACCCAAGAACGUGUACAACGCUCCUUUUUCCCAGCAAGUCCCCUAUUUUCUACUUCAAGUGAGUAUUGUUGGAAAGGGAGAUUUUAUUUUCAUGUACAACCUUUUGGACCAUAAGCGGAAAGAAAUAUUUCCUUUGAAGUAACUACAUAUUUACUAGAAGGACAAUAGAGUGUUAGCUUUAUAAGGCUAACUUUGUUACA